ensembl:lncRNA
UAGAAACUCGGGCAAGUUAAAUAACUUUUUUGUGCUUCAAUGUAAAGAAUAACAACACUGUGGUAGUUUAAAAUGUCCACACGUUCUUUGCUCCUUCCCUCAAAAAAGUGGAGCCUAAUUCCCCUCCCCUUGCUUGUAUGCUGGAUUUAGUCUCUUGCUUCUAAUGACUAGAAUAAAGUGAAGGUUACGGUGUGUCACAUCUGAGAUGAGAUCAUAAAAGAUAUUGUGGGUUAUGAAUCUCUCUCAGAAUGUUCACUCUGAGGGUUCCAGCUGCUAUGUCAUAAGGACACUCAGGCAACCCCAUGGAGAGGCCCGUGGGAUGAGGAACUGAGGCCUCCAGCCAACAGUCCUGUGAGUGAGUCCUCUAGGAAGCGGAUCCUUCAGCUGUAGUCAAACCUUCAGGUGCCUGCAGACCUGGCUGACAUCUGGACUUCAUCCCUCGGAGAGACCCUAAGCCAGCACCAGUGUUCCCAGAUUCUUGACCCACAAAAAGUGUGAAGAAGUACUGUAACCAUCUGACCACAGGGAACAAGCCUCAGGACAAAAGCCACCAGCCUAGCUUGCCUCCUGGAAGUUGACAAACCAUGUGGAACAGAGCCAAUACUGCCAGCUGAGGCCAAUUUACAUCAGCUAACUGGCAGCUUCUCAUCAUGCAAUUGAGCCCCAGUCAAGACCAGAAGAGCUGCCCAACUAAGCUGAGCGAGACUGGCAGAACUUCUCAACUCAUAAACUCACAAAUUUAGGGGUAGUUGUGACACAGAAUUAUGGCAUUAUUAUAUGUGCUGUAUUUAUUGUACUGCAUUAUACAGAUGGCAAUCAAGGAGAUGGUGAAAAGUCAGUGGAUUCUGAGUAUCUACAGAUAGAAGAACCAAUUGGCUGAGUGAGAGAAGUUGCGUGACUCCAAGGUUCUGCCCUGGACCACUAGAAAAAUGAAUAUGGAUAAUAGAGGUGGAUAUUGAAUCCAAAUUGAAUCUUUGGUCAAUAUAUUGUGACACAUUCAAAUGGAAAUCAUAACAUAAAAAUUGUCCCGAAUGUAUAUAGUUUUGUAAAGUAGUUCUGCUCUUCCUGAAGGGAAAAUUAAAAAAUAAGCAUGGCUUUGGCUAGAGACACAGAGAAAUAGAAAACCUGCUUCUCAUAGUCACUCUGCUAGAGGAAAUAUAUCAAAGUCAUGCAGCCCAAUUGUUUUAUUUAAUAACCAGAAUUUGGAUAAAUAUUUCUCCAUCACUUGUGGAACUGGACUCUGGUAGAUGCUGACCCUUUACCUGACUAGUGCAUGCCCCCCAGCUGCUGUGACUGCUACUGCUAAUAGCUCGCAGUUGCCCCUUCUGAGCACUGCCUUGAGCCAGUGGGGCCCGCAUCCCAGGAGAUUCCCCGGGAGGAUGCAAUCCACCACUCAUGCAUCAAAUGAGCAGUGCAGGGUUAACAGCUGGUGCCAUUCACACUCCAGAGCUCCUCCUGUGAUCAGGCUGAGGCUAGAUUUCAGUUACAUCCCUGUGGCUGCUUAGCUCCCUUCCCUGGCGCUCUUCUGCUUUCCUCAGUCUCUUACAGGUCUCCCCUGAGAGCAUUCCCUCAAUAAAUCGCUUGAACAAGAAUCUCUGUUUCGUGCUUUGUUUCAAGGGAAACUGAAAUAAGACACAAGGCAUCAGUCAAAUUGCCAAGUACUCCUAGGCUAUUGCUAUCAUAGGAAGACAAGUAUUUUUAUUAUUUUUUACGUUCAGACAACUGACUUUAUUGUCAGGACACAUGAGCAUAUCAUCAGUCUCAUGGACAUGUUGAAGAAACAUGCAAUGCGAUGUUUUCUAUGUUUAAUUGAAUGAUACCAGAGAAAGAAACCAUCUUUACAGUUUUCUGAAAAUAGAUUUUAUUUAUCAAGGCAAGAAUUGUUAGCAGAAAUCUUAGAAUGUUUAUUACAUCGUAAAUUGUUAGUAACUUGGACUGAUGGAGAAAGUUAACCUGAAUUAACGGUAAAGAAAUGCAAGUAUUAAAUGUCCCUAGCUUGGUGGCUUUUUACCAAAAUAUUCACUUCAUCUUUGGAAAGCAUCAUGUUAGCAGCCUUUUGUACCUAUAUGGUAAUUUGCACAUUGAUUUUUUAUAAAAUGAUUGAUGUGAAAUUUGGAAAAAAAGAAAAUGAGUAUUAAAUAUACAGAAAAGGAUUAAUUUGAAGAAGACUUACAUGUAAAUAUCAUUUUAACCAACUCCAUGGGACUCCUAAGUUCUUUAAACUGUAUUUUGUUUAAUUUGUUUUAUCAACAAUUGUUUGCUAAAAAUAUAUCACUAGAGAGAAUAUACUGUUAUGAUUAUAAAUGUUGUGUUGAAUUUGACCUGUAGCUGCAUCUAUGUAUAAAAAUGUUA